rnacentral:piRNA from 1 species
UCACCAGGACCAGAUCGAGGAUGCGGC